rnacentral:rRNA from 1 species
AUUGAACGCUGGCGGCAUGCCUUACACAUGCAAGUCGAACGGUAACGCGGGGCAACCUGGCGACGAGUGGCGAACGGGUGAGUAAUGCAUCGGAACGUGCCCAGUAGUGGGGGAUAGCCCGGCGAAAGCCGGAUUAAUACCGCAUACGACCUACGGGUGAAAGCGGGGGAUCGCAAGACCUCGCGCUAUUGGAGCGGCCGAUGUCAGAUUAGGUUGUUGGUGGGGUAAAGGCCUACCAAGCCUGCGAUCUGUAGCUGGUCUGAGAGGACGACCAGCCACACUGGGACUGAGACACGGCCCAGACUCCUACGGGAGGCAGCAGUGGGGAAUUUUGGACAAUGGGCGCAAGCCUGAUCCAGCCAUGCCGCGUGCGGGAA